GACGAACGCUGGCGGCGCGCUUAACACAUGCAAGUCGAGCGAUGAAAUUUCGACAGAACCCUUCGGGGUGAAGAUGAAAUGGAUUAGCGGCGGACGGGUGAGUAACACGUGAGUAACCUGCCUUUGACAUUGGGAUAGCCUCGGGAAACUGGGAUUAAUACCAAAUGACACUAACUGAUCACAUGAUCAAUUAGUCAAAGAAAUUCGGUCAAAGAUGGACUCGCGGCUGAUUAGCUAGUUGGCGAGGUAACGGCCCACCAAGGCGACGAUCAGUAGCCGGCCUGAGAGGGUGAUCGGCCACAUUGGAACUGAGACACGGUCCAAACUCCUACGGGAGGCAGCAGUGGGGAAUAUUGCACAAUGGGGGAAACCCUGAUGCAGCGACGCCGCGUGAGCGAAGAAGGCCUUCGGGUCGUAAAGCUCUUUUAUGAGGGAAGAUAAUGACGGUACCUCAAGAAAAAGCCCCGGCUAACUACGUGCCAGCAGCCGCGGUAAUACGUAGGGGGCUAGCGUUGUCCGGAAUCACUGGGCGUAAAGGGUUCGCAGGCGGAAUACAAGUCAGAUGUGAAAGGCAUGGGCUCAACCCAUGUAAGCAUUUGAAACUGUAAUUCUUGAGAAGUGGAGAGGUAAGUGGAAUUCCUAGUGUAGCGGUGAAAUGCGUAGAUAUUAGGAGGAAUACCUGUGGCGAAGGCGACUUACUGGACACAAAUCUGACGCUGAGGAACGAAAGCGUGGGUAGCAAACAGGAUUAGAUACCCUGGUAGCCCACGCCGUAAACGAUGAGUGCUAGGUGUCGGGGGAGACCUCGGUGCCGGCGUUAACACAAUAAGCACUCCGCCUGGGGAGUACGUGCGCAAGCAUGAAACUCAAAGGAAUUGACGGGGACCCGCACAAGCAGCGGAGCAUGUGGUUUAAUUCGACGCAACGCGAAGAACCUUACCAGGGCUUGACAUACUGAGGGCGUACUUAGAGAUAAGUAUUCUCCUUCGGGAGCCUCAAUACAGGUGGUGCAUGGUUGUCGUCAGCUCGUGUCGUGAGAUGUUCAGUUAAGUCUGGCAACGAGCGCAACCCUUACCUUUAGUUACCAGCAUGUAAAGAUGGGGACUCUAAAGGGACUGCCGAUGAUAAAUCGGAGGAAGGUGGGGAUGACGUCAAAUCAUCAUGCCCUAUAUGCCCUGGGCUACACACGUGCUACAAUGGUCGGAACAGAGGGAAGCAACAGAGCGAUCUCAAGCAAAUCUCAUAAAUCCGAUCCCAGUUCGGAUUGCACUCUGCAACUCGAGUGCAUGAAGUCGGAGUUGCUAGUAAUCGCAGAUCAGCAUGCUGCGGUGAAUGCGUUCCCGGGUCU
rnacentral:rRNA from 1 species